rnacentral:SRP_RNA from 1 species
UCUCCGUGAUCGGUGGACGGAACACUGUGCAUUUGUCGCGUGUGGGACUGGGGGCCCACUCAGCACAGUGGCGGGAAAAGCAGGCAAGCAGCUACAGGGAAGACACACAGCAGCCAGAAGUCGCGGUCGCGGUCGCAGGAUUGAGGCC